rnacentral:lncRNA from 1 species
GGCCUUGCUCUUAUGUCAUCUGACUAAAGGUUUCAUAGACCAAAGAUAACCAUCCAACCUGUUGGAAUACUGAAACAAUUGCUGCCUGCUUUCCACACACUACAUAAAAUAUGUGGAUAUCCUAAAUUCUACAAAAAAAAUAUUUGUAAGCAAAUCAAGCAAUACUGGGACUCCCUCUUCUCCAGAAGAGACAUCCUGGCCUCCAUGCAGAGGAAUGUAUGGAUAGACAUAUAUUUAAGGAAGACACUAAACCAGAAAAUACUACAUUACACCCUCUUAAAAGACUUCCAAGAUUGUUGUCAUGCCUACCACUGACAUUCAGAUGAUGUGUAUUCUUGAUUGUGAUUUCAUGUUUGGAGCUGAUGAAGGAGUUUGAAGUCUCCAGAGCAGCAAGGAGAGUGGAGAGUAGAACUCAUCAUCUUUAGGUCACUCAUCACCG